ensembl:lncRNA
CCAUCCAUCCAUCCAUCCAUUGUCAAACCGCUUAUCCUGCACACAGGGUCGCGGGGGGGCUGGAGUCCAUCCCAGCCAACUUCGGGCGAUAGACAGGGUACACCCUGGAUUGGUCGCCAGCCAAUCGCAGGGCCACACAGAGACACACAACCAUUCACACUCACAUUCACACAUCUACGGGCAAUUUAAAAACCCACGCAGACACGGGGAGAACAUGCAGACUCCACACAGAAAGGCCACUGGGUGGAAUCGAACCCAGG